rnacentral:rRNA from 1 species
UUAUUAAUAGCGCUCCCCUCCCUCGGGCUUGCUGGUUUCGUUUCGUCUCGCUCUUUAGCCGGCCAGAGGGGAGCGACCUGAUUGGUCUCUGCUCUCGUCUCUCUCGUGUCGCGUCUCGGUUCUGUCGUCGGAGUAGCGGCGGCCAACAAACGAAGGGCGGCGAGGUGCUUCGGCCGAGGCGGAGGGGCUGAGUUCGGCCUCGACGCGGAGGGAGGGAGGGAAGAUAACCAUAGCCAAAUAGCGCGCCGACCGGCCACCACGACGGCACACGACGCCUCUUCUCCUGGCCUCCCCCGCUUCGUACCUGCCUAGGCGGCGCCGCCUCGACCUCUCCCGCCUCUCCCACCACUCCGCGACCCUGAGGUGCCGCAGGCGCGGGCGCCCGCCGCCCCCGCCCCCGCCGCCCCUCCUGGUCUACGACAAGCUGCCGCCGCCUCUGGCCCACCUCCGGCUCGCGAAGGAGGUCCGCCACCUGCUGGAGGCGGCGGAGCGCGGCGGCAGGGGGCCGUCGGGCGCGGCGUGGAGGAGCCGCCCCCGGAGGCCGCGGCAGGUCCAGCGGUACCGCGCCGAGCUCCUGCUCAAGGCGGUGCACGACCGCAGCGCGCGCCAGCUGGAGCUCUAGCUCCACGAGCGGCUGGAGUCGAGGGAGAGGUACACGUCGCUGGCGAGGUCGAAGAGGCUGCAGCCGCUGCGCGGCGGCCACCUGCUGCUCAGGCAGCUCAGGAGGCAGCCGGCGGCGUCGUCGAUGGCGAGGUACGCGUCGUAGGCGCUCUAGCUGGAGGAGGGCGGGCUUCGGCAGUUGCUGGAGUUGCGGUAGCGGAGGGCGUACCGGCGGCGGCCGAUGCUGGCGCUCACGCAGGUCCAGAUGCGGAGGCAGGCGUUCGGCCGGCAACUGAGGCGGGACGCGGCGGAGCCGCAGCUCUUCGAGUGGUAGCCGCUGCAGGUCGCCGAGCUCACCCUGCGGGAGCUCCAGUUCUAGGCGGCGACCUAGGCGCGUCGGGCGCGGCGGCAGGCGCCGCAAAAGCGGUCGCUCGCGGCGGAAACGAAGGAGUAGAAGGUGCUGGAAGGGGAGAGGUUGGGGUGGUAGCGGUGGGGGCGAGGGUGGUGCUGAGGGCGGCGGGGGAAGCAGCUUUGGCAGUUCCCGCGGCGCGACGUCGAGAAACCGAAACGGCUCCGGUAGUCGUAGCCGGCGGCGAGCGGUCUCUUCGAGAAGUUCUAGUAACUAGACGUGCUACGUGACCAGCUAGACGACGGACUACAGAGGCUAUAGAAGCGGCGGAGGUUCCGGCCCCUUGGGUAUAUACACGUCUGUUGGCUCUAGUCCCGCGCAGACCGACUACGACAGGCACCCCAUGAGAGACUCAAGCUCUUGCGGCAAGAGGCACUGGGGAGGUUCUGAGGUCACGGGCCGCCGUGGUAGGUAGGGGAGUGAGCGAUACACUACUUAAUGUAACAGGAGUAAAGGCUGAUGUUCUGCUGUGAAAGACUCGACUAGCACAGUGCUGGUAGUCGAUCGAGCGCACAAGGACGGCUACCGUUACUAGAGUGUGGCAGUAAAGGACUAGACCUGGAAGGACUAGGACUGUCGGUCAAUGGUGAAAGACGAGUAGAAUAGACCUGAUAACACCAAGAACUUGUGUUGGAACUUCCGUUCCGUAGUGAGAUGUUCCUGGGCCGUGAGAGAGUGAACAAGGAUUACUUGUUACACGUGAUAUAGCACGUGUUCCAUUUCCUGAGCGGACUCGAGGCCCCUGAGUAACCGCUACACAUGGAUUUCGCCGAGUGUCCAUUCAAGGCCAACCGUCGGUGUCGAAUGGUCGCGUCACGUACCGAAUUCUAGGACUUAACAGAUUCUCUGCUCCCAGAGGUACAGUCGCCACCGAAAAGUAGUCCUUAUAGGUUUAGUCGUGAAGCCCUCGCGAAGUUCAGAAAGUUACGACGCAAGCUCCUCCGUGUAUCCCGAGUCAGACCCACCAUACACGGACUGUGUGUCGACUUUCUUCUCGAAUCCUAGAGUUAUCGUCUCUUCGACGAGGGUCGUAUGGCCAGGAAGGAACCAGCUAAGGCCGUAGUAUAACUCUUGCCCUCCGUAGGUCUCAACAUGUAGUUUAUGUGUCAACUCCUGGAACUCUAUAGGCACUGCCUAAAGAAGCUCCCCAGAGGUGGAGGUGGCGUAUUAUCCUCCUCUAGGGUACCUACUCUCUAACGAACUUCGAACGUCAUCGACAUAGUGAACCAACACACAACAACGGCUCGUAAGAAAUUAAGAAGCCACUUCGGUCACGUCCGUCAGCCCAUACAUAAAACAAAGUGAGAGGACUCUGAAUUCCCACAUCAACCACUACUAAAGAAGAUGAUCUCCAUUAGACUUUGUCUUAGUCCUAGUAUAACUGCGACAGUUUUCAGAACCCACAAAGAAGGAGUCAACCGCUAGAACAAGUAAACAAAUUCACAACAACAUUAAAACACAUCGUCGUACAAGUAUAUCCUUACAAGAAAAUCAUUACAGCGUAUCAACAUUCAACAUUAAAGGACCAGAACCAAACUGGAAAUCGACCCACAGGACAGAACAAGAACCAACUUAGUUUAUAUAUAUGUUUCUAACGUGAACCAUCUAAUCUAUAUUUUAGUCGACACGAUGAACACGACG